rnacentral:rRNA from 1 species
GUUUCAGCCGCCGCGGUAAUACGUAGGGUGCGGGCGUUAAUCGGAAUUACUGGGCGUAAAGCGUGCGCAGGCGGCUCCUCAAGUCAGAUGUGAAAUCCCCGGGCUUAACCUGGGAACUGCGUUUGAAACUAGGGAGCUUGAGUGUGGAAGAGGGGGGUGGAAUUCCAGGUGUAGCAGUGAAAUGCGUAGAGAUCUGGAGGAACACCGAUGGCGAAGGCAGCCCCCUGGGCUAACACUGACGCUCAUGCACGAAAGCGUGGGGAGCAAACAGGAUUAGAUACCCGAGUAGUCC